GCAUAUCAAUAAGCGGAGGAAAAGAAACUAACAAGGAUUCCCCUAGUAACGGCGAGUGAAGCGGGAAAAGCUCAAAUUUGUAAUCUGGCGCCUUGGGCGUCCGAGUUGUAAUCUCGAGAAGUAUUUUCCGCGCUGGACCGCACAUAAGUCUGUUGGAAUACAGCGUCAUAGUGGUGAGAACCCCGUAUAGGGUGCGGAUGCCCAGUGCUUUGUGAUAUACUUUCGAAGAGUCGAGUUGUUUGGGAAUGCAGCUCAAAUUGGGUGGUAAAUUCCAUCUAAAGCUAAAUAUUGGCGAGAGACCGAUAGCGAACAAGUACCGUGAGGGAAAGAUGAAAAGCACUUUGGAAAGAGAGUUAACAGUACGUGAAAUUGUUGGAAGGGAAACGCUUGAAGUCAGACUUGCAUUUUGGAGUUCAGCCGCAAGGUGUAUUCUUCAAUUCGCAGGCCAGCAUCAGUUUCUGGGGGUGGAAAAGCGCGGUUGGAAGGUAGCAGUCUCGGCUGUGUUAUAGCUUUCCGCUGGAUUCACUUUUGGGGACUGAGGAACGCAGUACGCUUUUUGCAAGAUUCUCGAGUCUUUCGUACUUAGGAUGCUGGUGGAAUGGCUUUAAACGACCCGUCUUGAAACACGGACCA
rnacentral:rRNA from 2 species